rfam:Nicotiana sylvestris Nsyl_contig3023, whole genome shotgun sequence.
GGUUCUAUGGUCUAGUGGACAUUGGACUCUGAAGUCAGUAACCCGAGUUCAAAUCUCGGUAUUAACCU